rnacentral:rRNA from 1 species
AUUGAACGCUGGCGGCAGGCCUAACACAUGCAAGUCGAGCGGAUGAAGGGAGCUUGCUCCUGGAUUCAGCGGCGGACGGGUGGGUAAUGCCUAGGAAUCUGCCUGGUAGUGGGGGAUAACGUCCGGAAACGGGCGCUAAUACCGCAUACGUCCUGAGGGAGAAAGUGGGGGAUCUUCGGACCUCACGCUAUCUGAUGAGCCUAGGUCGGAUUAGCUAGUUGGUGGGGUAAAGGCCUACCAAGGCGACGAUCCGUAACUGGUCUGAGAGGAUGAUCAGUCACACUGGAACUGAGACACGGUCCAGGCUCCUACGGGAGGCAGCAGUGGGGAAUAUUGGACAAUGGGCGAAAGCCUGAUCCAGCCAUGCCGCGUGUGUGAAGAAGGUCUUCGGAUUGUAAAGCACUUUAAGUCGGGAGGAAGGGCAGUAAGUUAAUACCUUGCUGUUUUGACGUUACCAACAGAAUAAGCACCGGCUAACUUCGUG